AGUGAACGCUGGCGGUAGGCCUAACACAUGCAAGUCGAACGGCAGCACAGUAAGAGCUUGCUCUUACGGGUGGCGAGUGGCGGACGGGUGAGGAAUACAUCGGAAUCUACUUUUUCGUGGGGGAUAACGUAGGGAAACUUACGCUAAUACCGCAUACGACCUACGGGUUAAAUCAGUGGAUCUUCGGACCUUGCGCGAUUGAAUUAGCCGAUGUCGGAUUAGCUAGUUGGCGGGGUAAAGGCCCACCAAGGCGACGAUCCGUAGCUGGUCUGAGAGGAUGAUCAGCCACACUGGAACUGAGACACGGUCCAGACUCCUACGGGAGGCAGCAGUGGGGAAUAUUGGACAAUGGGCGCAAGCCUGAUCCAGCCAUACCGCGUGGGUGAAGAAGGCCUUCGGGUUGUAAAGCCCUUUUGUUGGGAAAGAAAAGCAGCAGGUUAAUACCCCGCUGUUCUGACGGUACCCAAAGAAUAAGCACCGGCUAACUUCGUG
rnacentral:rRNA from 1 species